GUUUGGAGUUGUUUGGGUUGUGGAUUUGCAUGAGCUUGAAGGAAAUGAAUCUUUAGUCAGUAGAAAGGCUGCACCUUUGCUUGCUCAUUAUUGCAGCAUCAUCACUAGCCUGGAAUUUUCACCAGAUGGACAGUUUAUCGUUAGUGCAGAUCGUGACUUUAAGAUUCGUGUUACUGUGUUUCCAAAGAAGCCCUUAGAUGGAGCUCAUGAGAUACAAAGCUUUUGCCUUGGUCAUACAGAGUUUGUCUCCUGC
rnacentral:misc_RNA from 1 species